CCAGCGGAGGGAUCAUUAC
rnacentral:rRNA from 3 species